GAUUUUCCCAUUUUCUUCUGAACUCUGACAUACAUAUGCAGCAAUCCACAAGUAUGCACACAUACAUGCAGAAGAAAUUAAAGAGAGAGAUGCAUUUACUUUAAAAUCACUCUUCCACUGGAUUGACUAACCAUAAAAAAUACAAGCAUCAAUUCAUCUUACAGCCAAUCUAGAGUCCUAUUUCUGAUUCUUUUACCGCUAUCCACUCUUCAACUCAUCAUAAAGUUUCAAGUUCAAAAAAACCAAUAUGUUCCCAGCCAAAGGAACACAUCUUCAUGGUUUAAUAUUUGCAUUUGCGAGUUUUUACAAGACUAAACCACCUUUACAGUUAAGGACACAAUAGAAGUUUCAUACAGCUGCACCAAUAUGAUGAAAAUUCCAAUGCAUCUUUCAUGCCCACAUCCAUUUGACAAACUUAAGUCACUGCAAAAGUUUGCAAAAAUACAAAUAAGGUUAACAACAAUAACAAACACAAAUAGGGACAAAUUUAAUAGGUUCAUAACUAUUGCACUAUCUGAUUAAGUUUUGCUAUAUUCCCUCCCAAAUCGCAAACCCCAUAUUUAUGAGAGGAGAAAAUGAGAAACUAUUGUAGGCUAUACCAAAGCACUGGCUAAACGUGAAAAGUUUGAAUAGGAUAAAAUGGGAAAUUAUUCUAGGAACAAGCAUAUUAUACUCUUCCUAUAACUCGAUCUUCCACAAUUUCACAUCAAAGGAUGGUGAAAAGGUUGGAUUUGCCAGAGAAAAAUUAGGACAGAAGUAGAAUUACCCAUAUUGUUGGAUGAAAUUUUAUGAAUUUCAGCACUUACACUUGGAAUUUAAAAAAUAGAAAAUAAAGCAUAAGCUGAGAAAAUGAUAACGAACAUAAAAUCAUUCAGAACUCGGAGUCAAGACUCGGGCCUCUCAAAUGUCCAACAAGUCAGCUGAAUUUUCAUUUUGUGGGGCUCACAUAAAGGAAAGAACAAUGAAAACAAUUUCUAAUUUUAAUACUUCUCUACAGCUUAUGGUAAAAUAUACCUUUAGGAAGACUUGCUGAGAACAGCAUUUAAUAGAUGGCAUGUCCUAUACUUGAAUGCCUUGACUGCUGCUUUGGCAAAAACUUGUGCUGCUUCCGCUUCAGCUUCUGCUGCUUCAGCCUCCCUUGCUGCCUCUUCAGCUUCUGCAAUUGCAGCUUCUGCCUCUGCAACUGCCUUUGCAGCAGCUGCAGCAGCCUCUAGGGCAGUCAUGCCCCUAAUCUUUGAUAGCUCUUGAUCAACCAGGGAUUUAGUCAGGAUUUUGGUGUCACUCUUCACUGAUUUUGAAGAAUCCUUCUGUUUUCCCUCUACAAGUAAGUGGAGAGAGUUUCUUCUUCCUUCAGAAACUGCUGGACUAGGUGCAAUCCUGUACUUGUGCUUUACCUGUCAUUUGUGAAAAACAAACACUCAAACAAAACAAGAUGAUACGUUCAUUACAUGAUCAUAUGUCACUUUCUUUCUCAUAAAAUUUUUUCAGUUUUAUGGGCCCAACCACACCUGUCUCUUCAAAAAUCCUUCCCACAUUAUGAAUGUGCCAUUGAGACCACAACAGCUGGCCAACGGAAUUUUUAAAUGUUUUCUAUCCACAACAUUUUUAUAACCAUUUUCUGAUAAUAUCUUCCAGAAAAAUCUGUGAAAGAUAAUGGCCAACUAUUUUCGCCACAAUUUCACUGUCAUGUACCAUAGGCUUAAAAAAGGGGGAAUUAAUAGUUACUUUGCAGGCAGCAGAUAUUAUUUCAAUUAGCUUUAAGAGGUCAAACCAUGUUCACAUUUGAUGCCACUAAAGACAGAAAAGUUUAAAUAUAUAGGAAAUCAGUUCAGAAAUAACGAGUGCAAGCAGAUAUUUAAGGCGUAGAGGUUGUACCCAGGGUACUAUAGUAGUAGAAUAAUAGAGCAAGAAGAAAAGAAUCAGUAGAAUUAUAGAUGUAUGCUACUGAUUUUCUCAGAAAAAAAAAGGUAAAUUAAGUUUCUACCAAGGACACUUGUUCUUAGACUACAAAUUUGACUCCGAAAAGAAAGACUAUUUUCAAACCAUGAUAGAGCUGCAACAUCAGAUUACCUUGACCAACUUUCCAUUUGCAGUCAGAAGCUUUAAUUUUCCUGCCAAUAACUUCCUGAGGUUUGAGGGUGCCCGGCAUUUCUCCUCUAUGUACAAGGCAAUUGAAGCCCUGUCAGAACCACUUGGCUCCUUCAAUGUUGUAAUAGCAUCUAAUAUUAGAUUAUCCAAUCUACAACCACAAAAUUUGUCUCAAUCAUCAAUCAAAUCUAGCUAAAAAAGGACAGCGUGAUUUCCAAUACAAAGAUAUAAUGACCUUGAACAACCAAAAUCUCCCACCUUAUUUUUCAAAACAGGAUGCAGGAAAUUGUAGCUUUCUUUCUCUGAAUGUAUAAAUCUUUUGUAGAUCAUAACAACCUAGGUUUUCAGUUGUUACCAACUUUAAUAACAUUCUAAUUGAUGUCAUGGAUGGCAUUUUCUACAUAAGCAAAAUAUACUAUUUCACCAAUCACCAUUUAACAAGAAUAUCUUCAUUCAAAACGUCUUCUAAAAAUAUAGUCAUUUAUAUGAUCUAUAGAACCUAAUCAUCAUAUCAAAUGAAACAAAGGCCAAGUGGGGCAUCAAAGAGAUUGGAGGAAGAGAAAGUGGCAGGGAAAAAACAAGUCACAAGAAGCAGAUAACAUUUUGUCAGACAGAAUUGUUUGUAUCCCAGAUUAGAAUAUAAGGUGUUUCACCAGCUGUGCUAGGGAUUAGGGAAUCUAAAAAGGCAUCCACAAGGUUAUCUGGUUGACAUAUACUGCUCUCACAAGUAAUCAUGCUUAUGCUACCUUUUUUACUGCUUUUGAUUCGGUUGUUGAAUUCAUGAAACUCAUGUCUCAGUCUAUCAUGUAAACUUAAGAAUAGCCUAGAAAAGCUAUGAGAACAUCAUGUAAGAGGACUUAUGGGCAAAACUUUAAAUUUAUUGUGGAAUUAAUGUGCUCCUUAUCGUGCCAUGAAGAGAAGAGAAACAACUGAAAGAUAUUGCACCAACCAAUGAGAACACAAAAAUGAAAGUGUCUCAUACCCAAACCAGUUUACAAUAUUUUUUUUUUUCUCCAUUCACCUUCAUCUACAAACAUAUUUCAUGCUGAGAUUCUUUUCAUUAAUGACAGCCCGUUUAUGGAUUGUUGGCCACAUAAUUGGAUCCUUCUUUCCUUUACAGGCUUGGGAAGGGCUAACCCACUCCCCAGCUAGUCCAUGUAAAAUUACAACCACAACUUGGCUGCACCUGUUAAAAUAUAUGAUAUAUAAACCAUUUGACAUAAUUACUUAAGAUAUGGAACAAAAAUAUCCUAUGUCAAGCCACCAUCAAAGAUAUUCAUAUUGAGUAAAAUAACGAAGUGCAAAUAUCAUGUCAUCAGAAGAAAUUUAACCUUGAAAGUAGUUCUUUUGAACCAACAUUCCUUGGUGUUCCUCUAGAAAUUGCUAUAGGCUUAGCAUCAACAAUUUCUUCAUUUCCUUGAACUAUAACGCUCAAAGCCUUAGAAUUAUCAUCUUGUUUAGGUGUCUGUGGACUCUUUUUAAGUGCAAGCUUAGCCUUCUGCCUGGACCCCCAUAUUGCUGUCACAUUUAUAUUUCUCCAUUUAUCCUUCAAAUCAACAUUUGACCUUUGUCGCAGAAUGGCACUAAACUCAGGGUCCACAAGUAUUGUACGCCAUUUGCCUGUCCCAUGCUUAAGCACUCCAGCUUUAAGAGCUGCCUCUUCUUCUGCUGUCCACUUUUGCUUAGGAGCACCCAUCAGAGGAGGUUCUACGUCGUCACAGCAAAUAUCUGCACAGUUGGAUUCUGCCACCUUUUAGCACAUACAGCCAUAUGAAGAUAAUCAAACACUAAAUAGUACCUCAACCUUGGACACACUUCUAUCAAAACAAACAACCAACAAGGAGCACUUAAAUUAACAUAAAAUAUGUAACAAGAAGACAGCAACGUAAACAUUGAAAUAAAAAAGGCCAAACAAUUGCCUGUAGAGGCACGAAGAAAUUCAUUCAACAUUGAAUUUGCGGAUGCAUAGAGCAUAUAGAAGUAGACAAAAUUAAUUUGCUUAUUCUAUUAGUGCCAAAGUCGAAAACAAUAGCCCUUCUUUAAGCUGCAAUUAAGCAAAAGUAUUUAAGCUCAAUUUGAUAAACCAGAAAUUUUCUUCCAAUACUCAUUUCAACAAUGAAUUUUUAGAAAUUAUGCUCAGAUUAGGUAAAAUGAAGCCCGUCACAUAAGAAAGAUUGAAUAAAAACGAUUAUCACAUAGAACUAAGAAACCCAAUAAGGCAAGAACUCCUGUUUCUGCAUAGUUGGACCCGAAUCCUGCUCAAAGCAACCAACGAGAAGUUGGAAGAGAAUGCGAGAGGAGAGUAGAAUUCACAUGGAGAUCAUCCUCAAAAUUUUUAUUUCUGGGGUCUGCAGAGAGGAGAGUGAAAAAAAAGUACAUAAAUGUAUGAACUUUUAUUUUUGGCCGCGAAAUGGAAACGUAAAA
rnacentral:misc_RNA from 1 species